UGCCAGCAGCCGCGGUAAUAUGGACGGGGCUUGCGUUGUUCGGAAUUACUGGGCGUAAAGGGCGUGUAGGCGGCCAAUUAAGUCAGAGGUGAAAUCCCCGAGCUCAACUUGGGAACUGCCUUUGAUACUGAUUGGCUAGAGUUCGGGAGAGGGUAGUGGAAUUCCCAGUGUAGAGGUGAAAUUCGUAGAUAUUGGGAAGAACACCAGUGGCGAAGGCGGCUACCUGGACCGAUACUGACGCUGAGGCGCGAAGGCGUGGGGAGCAACCAGGGUUAGAUA
rnacentral:rRNA from 1 species